UUCCAGCUAGCUCAAAUGGUAAAGAAUCUGCCUGCAAUGCAGGAGACCCAGGUUCAAUCCCUGGGUUGGGAA
rfam:Ovis aries breed Texel chromosome 9, whole genome shotgun sequence.